UUUGCUUAUGAGUCAUAGAUCAUCGUGUUAAACAGUCGGGUUAUUGUUUGAUAGUGUUGACUUAUUUUUAGUAACAAUUCGUUGUGGGCAAUUAAGCUACAGGUCUCGCGACGAGCAAUUUGAAAUUUAAAUUUUAACGGUCAAGGUGCCACACUCCAGUCUGUAGCUUGUAUUUUAGCUACUCGAGAUAACUCGUUCGGAAUUUUGACACUUAGCCUAGCUAAGAAGCUAACAGUCUCUUCGAGUAAUACUUGGAAAAUGUGCUUUUAACGUCGCAGUAAUUAAUGUAUGUACUGCAAUUUUAGUCAGAACACUUGUUGGGACGCUUCCCGCGGUGAAGGCGCGAGACUACGCGGCGAGACCGAGAGGAAGCGCUUAUCUCUGCGAAUCACACAGCACCCUGGACAGAGACGAUGCGCGCUCCCGCGAUCCAUGAGCGCGCAAACUUGACAUCUGCUAUGGUUGCAGGAUUGGAUGGAUUGUAGUCUGACCAUUGAAACCAUGCCAUCAUGUAAAGUUUGUGGAGCCAAGAAAGAUUAAGAAACGACUUCAUGCAGGACAGCAUUUCAGAUUAUAUCUAGUAGCGUGUGUAGCCACUUAUUAAAUAUGAAAACUUUUUAGUCUGGGGUUUAAUGUCACCGUGCAGAGCAUGUUUAUUAGACCUGUAAAUUCAUACAAUGUGUGUUAGCCUAACAGUUCAGUUCUUCUGCAUUGGCAAGCUUAGAUUUAAUGAACAGCUACCUUUAGAAGUACUGAGUGAAUGAAUGUAGUGUGUGUGUGUGUGUGUGUGUGUGUGUGUGUGUGUGUGUGAGAGAGAGAGAGAAAGAGAGUGCAGUUUGUAUGCAUUUGAAUGGAUCUCCCAGCACAUCUCCUUAAUAAUUCAUAGCAGUGUGCUGUAUUCAGUGCUUUAAAAAUUGAGGUAUUGAGCUCAGCCUCAUGGCACAGAUCGAUCACUGUGAUUGGCUAUAAUAAUGUUGCUAUCAUUGGGAUAUUUCCUGGUGCAAAGCUCUUGCUGGUUUAGUAUUCUUUUGGGAUUAGUUUUUCUGAACAUCAGACCACAGUUGAGAGACCACUGAAGCUGAAUGUAUACACCUGAUUAAACAAGAAUGCACAAUGGAAUAUUUCCUAACACUAUAUAACAACAGAUUUGUAUAAUUAAAGGGAGGAUAUUGUUAAAAUUGGCUUUUUUAAAUUUUUUAUUCAACACCCCUGUUUUGGUGACAUUCAAGCAGUAUAGAGCUGCCCAAGCACUAAGAAAAUUGAAAUCUGUGCCUUGUACUUUUUAUCGUUAAUUUUUGUGCGAAAAAAUAUUUAAUGUUGAAAAAUACAGACUGUAUCUGCUACACGUGAGGAAUACAUUUGCACAUAUUCACAAAGUUUUCUGUGUUUGUGCCAUCUUUGCAGUCAUACUACAGUGCAAGCGAACUCAAAUUGAGUGAAGGUAGAUGGAUUUGUAAGCUUACAUUGGCUAAUGAAAUCAACACUAACUCAAAAAGAUGAGUGAAGAAAGCCUCUAGUAAUGUGGCAUUCCUGCAAAGUGAAAACCUUGGCAAUGAGGAGGUUAUUUCACUUCACUGGAGAUAAAAAAAUCAAGAGAAGAGGAGCUGCAUGUGUGACUUGACCGUAUGCAGCCACAGAUAAUGUCAAAUGUAACAUUGUAAAGCCGUGAAUGUCCCCAAAAUAACCAGUUUACUUUUCUUUCUUGCGGCCCAACUUGCAACCUAAUUGGUUGGGACAGAACUUGACGAUACUCGGUGUGUUUCAGGAAAGUAUAUGUUUCUUUAUUUUUUUUAAUUUGAAAUGUCAUGAACCAGUUAAAAAAACACUUGCAGCAGUCUUGUAGCCACUUCCCAUAGAAUCACAUGUACAGUGUGUGCUAGUGGUUCUGCAGGCACUUGAAAAUCUUUCUACUCAGGACUGGAACAG
ensembl:lncRNA